AGCGAACGCUGGCGGCAGGCCUAACACAUGCAAGUCGAACGAACUCUUCGGAGUUAGUGGCGGACGGGUGAGUAACACGUGGGAACGUGCCUUUUGGUUCGGAAUAACUCAGGGAAACUUGUGCUAAUACCGAAUGUGCCCUUCGGGGGAAAGAUUUAUCGCCAUUAGAGCGGCCCGCGUCUGAUUAGCUAGUUGGUGAGGUAACGGCUCACCAAGGCGACGAUCAGUAGCUGGUCUGAGAGGAUGACCAGCCACACUGGGACUGAGACACGGCCCAGACUCCUACGGGAGGCAGCAGUGGGGAAUCUUGCGCAAUGGGCGAAAGCCUGACGCGGCCAUGCCGCGUGAAUGAUGAAGGUCUUAGGAUUGUAAAAUUCUUUCACCGGGGACGAUAAUGACGGUACCCGGAGAAGGAGCCCCGGCUAACUUCGUG
rnacentral:rRNA from 1 species